AGGGAGCUGUGGAUUUGUUUGUCCUACCUUUCCCUUUUGAGGGAAUAUCCCUUGACUGUGCCUGGACCAUCUCCUCUUUAAAGGCUAUAGAUUGCUUAAUUGAUAAUCGAUCUGGUUGGUCACAUUGUGAACACAUCCUCCUUGGCCAUCAAAAACUCGAAUGGGACUGAAACCCUGAGUUAAAAGAUUGCUGUCUGUGAGAAUUUUUUCCAUCCAAUUGGCUACCUACCAUGGUGAAUAACAGUUGUUGGACUCUGGAGAUCUAGUGUCUUGGCAUUGGAAUCAAAGUAAUGUUGGGAAAGGGGAAAAUAAUGCCACAAAGAUUAUGAAAUCUUGUUGACAACUUUCUUUGAGGACAGCAGCAAGUGUCAUUGCCUCACUGCUGAUUACAAAGUCCAUUCAAUAAUGGUGUAUUUUGUUAUGAUUCAGUUGCUUAAUCAGUUGAUAUAUUUGGGUGUACAGUUUGUUGGCUCUCAUGAUCUACUGAAUAUCUUCUUUCUUUGUCAACAGGCAUUCCCCACUCAUAAAAGUGUAGUGACAAUAUGGACUUAUAUAAUCUCUCCUAUUUUGACUUUGACAUCAUAAAUACAGUGUGACCUGUCAUUGAGAUAUAGAUUUAUUACAAACAAGGCAUCAAAUGAAGGUAGACCAAAGAUGACCUUUCCAACCAAGCCUAAAAAUCUCUUACAAUGUUCUAAGACAUAUACAGAUGAGGAAGGCCAUUUAGUUGUAUCACAAAAUUUACCUAGAGCUCCCCCAUCAGAGCAACAACCCUGCCAAUUUUUCUACUUCCACAUACUUACCCAGAAGAUCAUUUAACAUGUUGUUCAGAGAAGAGCCUCCAAACACCAUCCCUCGGUUUUAACCCUUCUCAGGGUGAAAGUGAGGACUGCAGAUGCUGGA